rnacentral:rRNA from 1 species
UCGCUCUUCAACGAGGAAUCCCUAGUAAGCGUGAGUCAUCAGCUCACGUUGAUUACGUCCCUGCCCUUUGUACACACCGCCCGUCGCUACUACCGAUUGAAUGGCUUAGUGAGACCUUUGGAUUGGGGUUUGGAAGCGGCAACGUAACCAUUCUUCGAGAAGUCGGUCAAACUUGGUCAUUUAGAGGAAGUAAAAGUCGUAACAAGGUUUCCGUAGGUGAACCUGCGGAAGGAUCAUUAAAAAUUUUUUUCUCUCCAUUUGAUGGAGGGUUAAUUUGUAUUCAAAUUCCACUCUUAAAAUUUAUAAAUUUAUAUAAUAAAAUAAUAAUGACAACUUUCAACAACGGAUCUCUUGGUUCUCGCAUCGAUGAAGAACGCAGCGAAAUGCGAUACGUAGUGUGAAUUGCAGGUUUACGUGAAUCAUCGAAUCUUUGAACGCAAAUUGCACUUUCCAGUAUUCUGGAAAGUAUGCCUGGUUGAGGGUUAUUUAAAUAACAUUCGUGAAUUUUUUUUCGCGGAUUUGAGUUUUCCGGUGUUACAAACGCUGGUGACUUUAAAAUGAUUUAUUUCUUGGUACAAGUCAAGACGUUCUAUUCAAGCGUGGUUCGUUGAAAACUUUACCUCAAUACGUAUUAUGCUUUGCGCACGCGUGAUUUCGUGUGUUUAGUAUAUACUUUUUUUUAAUGACCUCAGCUCAAGCAAGGAUACCCGCUGAACUUAAGCAUAUCAAUAAGCGGAGGAAAAGAAACUAACAAGGAUUCCCUCAGUAACGGCGAGUGAAGUGGGAAAAGCUCAAAUUUUAAAUCUACCUGGCUUCCAGGUCGAGUUGUAAUUUGAAGAAGCGCUUUCCGCGUUUUGGUCUGGUUCAAGUUCUUUGGAACAAGACAUCAUGGAGGGUGAGAAUCCCGUGCAUGAUCAGAUCAAAAUGUUUUAGAUGCGCUUUCUAAGAGUCGAGUUGUUUGGGAAUGCAGCUCAAAAUGGGUGGUAGACUUCACCUAAGGCUAAAUAUUAGCGAGAGACCGAUAGCGAACAAGUACCGUGAGGGAAAGAUGAAAAGAACUUUGAAAAGAGAGUUAAAUAGUACGUGAAAUUGUUGAAAGGGAAACGAUUGAAGUCAGUCGUGCUAGUGAGAAGUCAACUUGGGGGGUUUUGGGUUCUUAAGUUGCGGUAGGGUUAAACCACCUUUCUCUUGAACUCUGAGCUUUUCGGGUGUACUUUCUCUUUGGCAGGUCAGCGUCGAUCUUGGGGGUUGUAAAAUAACUGGGGAAAUGUAGCUCCCUUCGGGGAGUGUUAUAGACCCUGGGGGAUGCAGCCCGCGGGAUCGAGGAUUGCAGCAAAUGCUUUUUGGCUUGUCGCCUAUCCGCUGGACGUUACCCCGCUUGUGACAACAUUCUUGACACUUUGUGGGACUUGACGGUCACAGGUUAGAGCGUUCUGAAAUUUGCUAAGGAUGCUGACGUAAUGGCUUUAAACGACCCGUCUUGAAACACGGACCAAGGAGUCUAACAUAUGUGCGAGUGUUU